rfam:Facklamia hominis CCTG 36813 genomic scaffold supercont1.1, whole genome shotgun sequence.
GCACCAGUAGCUCAACGGGAUAGAGCUCUCGCCUCCUAAGCGAAAAAUGAUGGUUCGAGUCCGUCCUGGUGUA